rnacentral:rRNA from 1 species
AAUGUGAACGUAAGUUCAAAGCCGCAAGGCGCUUUAAGAUGAACCCGCGUCCUAUCAGCUAGUUGGUGAGGUAAUGGCUCACCAAGGCAUCGACGGGUAGCUGGUCUGAGAGGAUGAUCAGCCGGAAUGGGACUGAGACACGGCCCAUACACCUAUGGGUGGCAGCAACUGGGAAUCUUGCGCAAUGGACGAAAGUCUGACGCAGCGACGCCGCGUGGAGGAUUGAAGGCCCUCGGGUUGUAAACUCCUUUUGACUGGGAAGAUUAUGACUGUACCAGUAGAAUAAGCACCUGCUAACUACGUGCCAGAAGCCUCGGUAAUACGUAGGGUGCAAGCGUUAUCCGGAUUUAUUGGGCGUAAAGUGUUGCGUAGGCUGUCCGAUGCAUUUCAUUUAAAAUGCUAUGGCUUAACCAUAGUUUUGGGUGAAAUAUGAUCGGACUUGAUGGCUUAAGAGGGUACUGGAACUUAACAUGUAGCAGUGAAAUGCGUUGAUAUGUUAAGGAACACCAAAGGCGUAGGCAGGUACCUGGGAAGCACAUGACGCUGAGGCACGACAGCUAGGGUAGCGAAACAGAUUAGAGACCUGUGUAGUCCUAGCCGUAAACGAUGGAUGCUAGUUACCCCGGCUUGCCGGGGCGACGGAGCUAACGC